CAGCCGCCGCGGUAAUACCGGCGGCCUGAGUGGUGGCCGCUAUUAUUGGGCUUAAAGCGUCCGUAGCCGGGUUGGGAAGUCCUCCGGGAAAUCUGGCCGCUUAACGGUCAGAAUGCCGGAGGAUACUCCCAGCCUAGGGAGCGGGAGAGGCCGAGGGUAUUCCCGGAGUAGGGGUGAAAUCCUAUAAUCCCGGGAGGACCACCUGUGGCGAAGGCGCUCGGCUGGAACGCGUCCGACGGUGAGGGACGAAGGCCAGGGGAGCAAACCGGAUUAGAUACCCGGGUAGUCCUGGCUGUAAACGAUGCGGACUUUGUGUCGGACAAGCUAUGAGCUUGUCCGGUGCCGGAGGGAAACCGUUAAGUCCGCCGCCUGGGGAGUACGGCCGCAAGGCUGAAACUUAAAGGAAUUGGCGGG
rnacentral:rRNA from 1 species